rnacentral:rRNA from 1 species
CCUGGCUCAGUACGAGCGCUGGCGGCGUGCCUAAUACAUGCAAGUCGAACUAACGGAUAAAGAGCUUGCUCUUUUGAAGUUAGUGGCGGACGGGUGAGUAACACGUGGGCAACCUGCCUCACAGCUGGGGAUAACAUCGAGAAAUCGAUGCUAAUACCGAAUGUGCUGAACAUCAUAAGAUGUUCAAGUGAAAGACGGUUUCGGCUGUCACUGUGAGAUGGACCCGCGCUGGAUUAGCUAGUUGGUAAGGUAAUGGCUUACCAAGGCGACGAUCCAUAGCCGACCUGAGAGGGUGAUCGGCCACAUUGGGACUGAGACACGGCCCAAACUCCUACGGGAGGCAGCAGUAGGGAAUCUUCGGCAAUGGACGAAAGUCUGACCGAGCAACGCCGCGUGAGCGAAGAAGGCCUUCGGGUCGUAAAGCUCUGUUGUUAGAGAAGAACAUGGGUGAGAGUAACUGUUCACCCCUUGACGGUAUCUAACCAGAAAGCCACGGCUAACUACGUGCCAGCAGCCGCGGUAAUACGUAGGUGGCAAGCGUUGUCCGGAAUUAUUGGGCGUAAAGCGCGCGCAGGCGGUCUCUUAAGUCUGAUGUGAAAGCCCCCGGCUCAACCGGGGAGGGUCAUUGGAAACUGGGAGACUUGAGGACAGAAGAGGAGAGUGGAAUUCCAAGUGUAGCGGUGAAAUGCGUAGAUAUUUGGAGGAACACCAGUGGCGAAGGCGGCUCUCUGGUCUGUUACUGACGCUGAGGCGCGAAAGCGUGGGGAGCAAACAGGAUUAGAUACCCUGGUAGUCCACGCCGUAAACGAUGAGUGCUAAGUGUUAGGGGGUUUCCGCCCCUUAGUGCUGCAGUUAACGCAUUAAGCACUCCGCCUGGGGAGUACGACCGCAAGGUUGAAACUCAAAGGAAUUGACGGGGGCCCGCACAAGCGGUGGAGCAUGUGGUUUAAUUCGAAGCAACGCGAAGAACCUUACCAGGUCUUGACAUCCUUUGACCAUUCUGGAGACAGAACUUUCCCUUCGGGGACAAAGUGACAGGUGGUGCAUGGUUGUCGUCAGCUCGUGUCGUGAGAUGUUGGGUUAAGUCCCGCAACGAGCGCAACCCUUGAUUUUAGUUGCCAGCAUUUAGUUGGGCACUCUAAAGUGACUGCCGGUGAUAAGCCGGAGGAAGGUGGGGAUGACGUCAAAUCAUCAUGCCCCUUAUGACCUGGGCUACACACGUGCUACAAUGGAUAAUACAAAGGGUCGCGAAGCCGCGAGGUGGAGCCAAUCCCAUAAAAUUAUUCUCAGUUCGGAUUGCAGGCUGCAACUCGCCUGCAUGAAGCUGGAAUCGCUAGUAAUCGUAGAUCAGCAUGCUACGGUGAAUACGUUCCCGGGCCUUGUACACACCGCCCG